AUUUAAGUAUGGUAGUUGCAUGUAGUUGUAUGACGUCAACAUGCAAGGAGUCUGUCUUUAUGAAAUUUCGUAUAAAAAAAUACGACCAGAUUGGUUGGACCCUUUCAAGUUUUCAGUUAUAGCUGUUUUAAAGAGUGAGUAUUAUGCCAGUGAUCCUUUGCACGCUUGUGUUUACAUUCGGCUGUAUCUAAUGAAUAUACUUUCAUAUUACAAACAUUUUAAAUAAAAAACGCAACAUUUCACAAGAUAUAAUGACUUACUUCGUUUAACAGAAGAAAUAGAGUUGUCUUUCAACAGGAUUCUGAUAAAUAUGGGCCAAUAUACAAAUUAAAUCUUGGAGAUCACUUAUAAAUAUCUCAAGAGUCAGCCAUUUUCCGGGACGCCAUGGCCAAGUGCCCAAAGGAUCACUGCCACUGGCAUGAUACUCUGCACUCUUUAAGGAAAUUAAAAACUUUGACUUUCAUUAAUUGCCUUUAAUUAUAUAAAAUUGCUCUGAAAGUGUUGAUUAAUCUCAUAAAGUAUCGGUUUGUUAGUAGUCUCAAAAGUAUCGGUUUGUUAGUUAAAAGGUUGUUAGUUAUGUUAUCUCAGAAUAAUCUCACGCUGCACAUUAUAGAUAGCGACUUUUAUAUCUAGGCUAUAGGCUACAUAGUACGGGGACGCAACAUGUCAAGUAUAUUAUAGUCUACAAAGCAGUUUAAAUUUCCUUUUUUCCGUCUUUGUUUACAACGGUAUUUCAUAGUUUCUGCCAUUGUUACUGUAAAAGUGUAAAAUUUAGUCUGUUUCUCAUCACGUCCCUGUAUACUGCAUGUAUAGAUUUAACUUCGCUAUUGUCUAGCUUAUAUACCAGCAGCGUAUAAUUAAAUACGUAACAUUUUUCAAAAUUCUAGUUUCAUAGUUGUAACAACAAUUAUAUGUACAUGCCAAAAUUAAAGAUUGUGCAGGGUCUAUAUAUAGUUAAAG